rnacentral:rRNA from 1 species
CGCGUAGACGGCGCAUUAAGUCUGCUGUUAAAUUCUUCAGCCUAACUGAAGGUCAGCGGUUGAAACUGAUGUGCUUGAGGAUGGAAGAGAGAAGUGGAAUUCUCGGAGUAGCGGUAAAAUGCGUAGAUCUCGAGAGGAACACCGAUGGCGAAGGCAGCUUCUUGGCCAUUUCUGACGUUGAGGCGCGAAAGCGUGGGGAGCAAACA